AUUGAACGCUGGCGGCAGGCCUAACACAUGCAAGUCGAGCGGAUGAAGGGAGCUUGCUCCUGGAUUCAGCGGCGGACGGGUGAGUAAUGCCUAGGAAUCUGCCUGGUAGUGGGGGAUAACGUCCGGAAACGGGCGCUAAUACCGCAUACGUCCUGAGGGAGAAAGUGGGGGAUCUUCGGACCUCACGCUAUCAGAUGAGCCUAGGUCGGAUUAGCUAGUUGGUGGGGUAAAGGCCUACCAAGGCGACGAUCCGUAACUGGUCUGAGAGGAUGAUCAGUCAAGAUGGAACUGGGGAACGGGCCCGGACUCUAGGGGGGGGCAGAGGGGGGAAUAUUGGAAAAGGGGGGAAAGCCUGAACCAGCCAGGCCGGGUGGUGUAAGAAGGUCUUCGGGUUGGAAAGGACUUUAAGGUGGGAAGAAGGGGAGUAAGUUAAAUCCUUGGUGGUUUGGCGUUACCAAAAAAAAAAGGCCCCGCUAAACUUG
rnacentral:rRNA from 1 species